rnacentral:rRNA from 1 species
UACGGAGGGAGCUAGCGUUGUUCGGAAUUACUGGGCGUAAAGCGCGCGUAGGCGGCUUUGUAAGUUAGAGGUGAAAGCCCGGAGCUCAACUCCGGAACUGCCUUUAAAACUGCAUCGCUUGAAUCCAGGAGAGGUGAGUGGAAUUCCGAGUGUAGAGGUGAAAUUCGUAGAUAUUCGGAAGGACACCAGUGGCGAAGGCGACUCACUGGACACAUAUUGACGCUGAGGUGCGAAAGCGUGGGGAGCAAACAGG